rnacentral:rRNA from 1 species
UACGUAGGGUGCGAGCGUUAAUCGGAAUUACUGGGCGUAAAGUGUGCGCAGGUGGCCGCGCAAGUCGAGUGUGAAAUCCCCCGAGCUUAACUUGGGAAUUGCGCUCGAAACUACGUGGCUCGAGUGUGGCAGAGGAAGGUGGAAUUCCACGUGUAGCGGUGAAAUGCGUAGAUAUCAGGAGGAACACCGGUGGCGAAGGCGGCUCUCUGGACGGUGACUGACGCUGAGACGCGAAAGCGUGGGGAGCAAACAGG